rnacentral:rRNA from 1 species
CAGUAGCCGCGGUAAUACGGAGGGUGCAAGCGUUAAUCGGAAUUACUGGGCGUAAAGCGCACGCAGGCGGUCUGACAAGUCAGAUGUGAAAUCCCCGGGCUUAACCUGGGAACUGCAUUUGAAACUGUCAGGCUGGAGUCUUGUAGAGGGGGGUGGAAUUCCAGGUGUAGCGGUGAAAUGCGUAGAGAUCUGGAGGAAUACCGGUGGCGAAGGCGGCCCCCUGGACAAAGACUGACGCUCAGGUGCGAAAGCGUGGGGAGCAAACAGGAUUAGAGACCCCGGUAGUCCCUGUCUCUUAUAA